CAGCAGCCGCGGUAAUACGGAGGGAGCUAGCGUUAUUCGGAAUUACUGGGCGUAAAGCGCACGUAGGCGGCUUUGUAAGUUAGAGGUGAAAGCCUGGAGCUCAACUCCAGAAUUGCCUUUAAGACUGCAUCGCUUGAAUCCAGGAGAGGUGAGUGGAAUUCCGAGUGUAGAGGUGAAAUUCGUAGAUAUUCGGAAGGACACCAGUGGCGAAGGCGGCUCACUGGACUGGUAUUGACGCUGAGGUGCGAAAGCGUGGGGAGCAAACAGGAUUAGAUACCCCAGUAGUCCCUGUCUCUUAUAC
rnacentral:rRNA from 1 species